AGAAAAAUUUAAGGUGUUGUUUUUUAUACAUCCAUACUUCAAUUAUUUAAUAUUAUUAUAAGUUGUAUAACAUUGUAUAUUAAUUCGCAGAGAAAAUCAGAAAUAAACAAAAUAAACCGGACUAAGAAGAUACUCAAUCACAAAACCGGACGUGAAGGCAUUGAAGCAUCAUGAAUCAAUGUAUUGAUUCGUUCUUCUGGUAGUGACAAUGAAGUCAUUGUAAGUCUUAUUUUAUUUUAUAAUGUUUAUAAUUAGUAUUUUAUCGAUCUACUCAUAGCUUAUUACUUAUUUUGUAGAAAAACAUGUCUGAAUAUUACAAUAGUGAUGAAAUUCAACAAUUACGUACAACAACGGAUGAAAAUAUAUGUUUUAAAUAAUUUUACUAUUUCAAAUUAUUUAAAUGUUUUAUUUUCUUAUAUAUUAUUUUUAUUAAAAGCAAAAAAGGAAGGUACAUUGGACUUGGUGGAGGAUCAUAUGCUGAGUCGAGCAUUGCUUCUACCAGAUUUGCAGUUGAAAUGAAUGCAAGAUUUCUUGUGAAAGAAAAAGAAAAAGAAAAAAUUGAUGAUCAAAUGGAGAAGAUACUAGAGGUAUGUGUAUGAUAAUACAUGAAAUUUUAAACUAAUACAUAAAUAUUAAUGAAUCUUAAAUGUUUUAUAGGAUAAUCGAUAUUUAAAAAAAAAAAAUGAGGAAAUUUUUGAUAUGUAUCAAGACAUGAUGAAAACAUUUCUAUCACAAUCAAAUACAACUGCACAACCUUCAGAUCAUGGAUCGUUGCAAGAUAAAAGUGCAGGUCAGAGCGAUCAAAGAUAUCAAACUCCUCCAUCCAAAUAGUUCUUCCAUGUUAGUUUUGUUGAAUGUUAGUUUUCUUGAAUGUCAAAUUUGUUGAAUGUUAUAUUUGUUGAAUGUUUUUGUAUUGAAUAUUUGUUGAAUAUUGAAUAAAUUUACAUGAAUUAAUAUUGAAUGAAUUUACGGG
rnacentral:lncRNA from 1 species